rnacentral:rRNA from 1 species
CGUUCCCGGACCUUGUACACACCGCCCGUCAAGCCAUGGAAGUUGGGUAGGACCUGAAGACAGUUGUCUGCAAGGCGCUGUUAGGGUUAAACCGAUGACUGGGGCU